GGUUCCAUGGCCUAGAGGUUAGCAUGACUGCUUUGCACGCAGAAGGUCCUGGGUUCUCGACCCAGUGGAGCCA
rnacentral:tRNA from 1 species